rnacentral:rRNA from 1 species
UGGGGAAUAUUGCACAAUGGGGGAAACCCUGAUGCAGCGACGCCGCGUGAGCGAUGAAGUAUUUCGGUAUGUAAAGCUCUAUCAGCAGGGAAGAAAAUGACGGUACCUGACUAAGAAGCCCCGGCUAACUACGUGCCAGCAGCCGCGGUAAUACGUAGGGGGCAAGCGUUAUCCGGAUCUACUGGGUGUAAAGGGAGUGUAGACGGCUGUGCAAGCCAGAUGUGAAAGCCCGGGGCUCAACCCCGGGACUGCAUUUGGAACUGUGUGGCUGGAGUGUCGGAGAGGCAGGCGGAAUUCCUAGUGUAGCGGUGAAAUGCGUAGAUAUUAGGAGGAACACCAGUGGCGAAGGCGGCUUUCUGGACUGAAACUGACGCUGAGGCUCGAAAGCGUGGGGAGCGAACAGG